rnacentral:rRNA from 1 species
UACGAAGGGGGCUAGCGUUGCUCGGAAUCACUGGGCGUAAAGGGUGCGUAGGCGGGUCUUUAAGUCAGGGGUGAAAUCCUGGAGCUCAACGUCCAGAACUGCCUUUGAUACUGAGGAUCUUGAGUUCGGGAGAGUGAGUGGAACUGCGAGUGUAGAGGUGAAAUUCGUAGAUAUUCGCAAGAACACCAGUGGCGAAGGCGGCUCACUGGCCCGAUACUGACGCUGAGGCACGAAAGCGUGGGGAGCAAACAGG